CCAAUAGCGUAUAUUAAAGUUGUUGCAGUUAAAAAGCUCGUAGUUGAAUUUCGGGAUUGACGUGAUGGUCGUGCCUUAAGGGGUAUGAACUGUUGCUGUUGAUUUCUCACCUUCUGGAGAAACUUGAUGUCCUUAAUUGGGUGUCUUGCGGAUCCAGGACCUUUACCUUGAAAAAAUUAGAGUGUUUAAAGCAGGCAUUUUGCUCGAAUACAUUAGCAUGGAAUAAUAGAAUAGGACGGCAUGGUUCUAUUUUGUUGGUUUCUAGGAUCACCGUAAUGAUUAAUAGGGAUAGUUGGGGGCAUUAGUAUUCAAUUGUCAGAGGUGAAAUUCUUGGAUUUAUUGAAGACUAACUACUGCGAAAGCAUUUGCCAAGGAUGUUUUCAUUAAUCAAGAACGAAAGUUAGGGGAUCGAAGACGAUCAGAUACCGUCGCAGUCUUAACCAUAAACUAUGCCGACUAGGAAUCAGACGAUGUUAAUUUUUUAAUGACUCGUUUGGCACCUUACG
rnacentral:rRNA from 1 species